rnacentral:rRNA from 1 species
UACGUAGGGGCAAGCGUUGUCCGGAUUUAUUGGGCGUAAAGCGCGUGUAGGCGGCCAGAUAGGUCUGCUGUGAAAACUCGAGGCUCAACCUCGAGCUGUCGGCGGAAACCAUCUGGCUAGAGUCCGGAAGAGGAGAGUGGAAUUCCGUGGUGUAGCGGUGAAAUGCGCAGAUAUCAGGAAGAACACCUAUGGCGAAGGCAGCUCUCUGGGACGGUACUGACGCUGAGACGCGAAAGCGUGGGGAGCGAACAGG